GACGAACGCUGGCGGCGUGCCUAAUACAUGCAAGUUGAGCGCUGAAGGUUGGUACUUGUACCAACUGGAUGAGCAGCGAACGGGUGAGUAACGCGUGGGGAAUCUGCCUUUGAGCGGGGGACAACAUUUGGAAACGAAUGCUAAUACCGCAUAAAAACUUUAAACACAAGUUUUAAGUUUGAAAGAUGCAAUUGCAUCACUCAAAGAUGAUCCCGCGUUGUAUUAGCUAGUUGGUGAGGUAAAGGCUCACCAAGGCGAUGAUACAUAGCCGACCUGAGAGGGUGAUCGGCCACAUUGGGACUGAGACACGGCCCAAACGCCUACGGGAGGCAGCAGUAGGGAAUCUUCGGCAAUGGACGAAAGUCUGACCGAGCAACGCCGCGGGAGUGAAGAAGGUUUUCGGGUCGUAAAACUCUGUUGGUAGAGAAGAACGUUGGUGAGAGUGGAAAGCUCAUCAAGUGACGGUAACUACCCAGAAAGGGACGGCUAACUACGUG
rnacentral:rRNA from 1 species